rnacentral:rRNA from 1 species
UACGUAGGGUGCGAGCGUUGUCCGGAAUUAUUGGGCGUAAAGAGCUUGUAGGCGGUUUGUCGCGUCUGCUGUGAAAUUUCGGGGCUCAACCCCGAACUUGCAGUGGGUACGGGGCAGACUAGAGUGUGGUAGGGGAGACUGGAAUUCCUGGUGUAGCGGUGAAAUGCGCAGAUAUCAGGAGGAACACCGAUGGCGAAGGCAGGUCUCUGGGCCAUAACUGACGCUGAGGCGCGAAAGCUAGGGGAGCAAACGGG